rnacentral:piRNA from 1 species
UGUGAGUUACCCUUCCGCCUUUUGUGCUU